UAUUAAUGUAGCUGUGUGUGCAGUCACUGGUACACCUAAGAAGAGAAUUUCUUUUUUAAGAGAAUACAGUACAAGGCUGUGCCUAUUACAAACGUAUAGGAGCAAUACUGAAGAAAAAAAGACCUUAAUACAUGUAUAUAAAUUUUUCUAUA